AACGAACGCUGGCGGCAGGCUUAACACAUGCAAGUCGAACGCACCUUUCGGGGUGAGUGGCAGACGGGUGAGUAACGCGUGGGAAUCUACCCUUCUCUACGGGAUAGCUCCGGGAAACUGGAAUUAAUACCGUAUACGUCCUGAGGGAGAAAGAUUUAUCGGGGAAGGAUGAGCCCGCGUUGGAUUAGCUAGUUGGUGGGGUAAAGGCCUACCAAGGCGACGAUCCAUAGCUGGUCUAAGAGGAUGAUCAGCCACAUUGGGACUGAGACACGGCCCAAACUCCUCCGGGAGGCAGCAGUGGGGAAUAUUGGACAAUGGGCGCAAGCCUGAUCCAGCCAUGCCGCGUGAGUGAUGAAGGCCCUAGGGUUGUAAAGCUCUUUCAGUGGGGACGAUAAUGACGGUACCCACAGAAGAAGCCCCGGCUAACUUCGUGCCAGCCGCCGCGGUAAUAC
rnacentral:rRNA from 1 species